rnacentral:rRNA from 1 species
UACGAAGGGGGCUAGCGUUGUUCGGAAUCACUGGGCGUAAAGCGCACGUAGGCGGAUCUUUAAGUCAGGGGUGAAAUCCCGAGGCUCAACCUCGGAACUGCCUUUGAUACUGGGGAUCUCGAGUUCGGGAGAGGUGAGUGGAACUGCGAGUGUAGAGGUGAAAUUCGUAGAUAUUCGCAAGAACACCAGUGGCGAAGGCGGCUCACUGGCCCGAUACUGACGCUGAGGUGCGAAAGCGUGGGGAGCAAACAGGAUUAGAAACCCUUGUAGUCC